AAGCCCAUGAUGUGGGCAUUGCUUGAGCAUAUUUUUGAAUCUAUCCCAUGCUUUGAAUAAUGAUUCUGAAUCUAUUUGUCUGAAACUUGCUAUAAGAUUCCUCGUAU